GCUGGGAGACAGCCGGGGGAAAAGGCAUGCGGGCGCAGGGCCGCCCAGCUCCGCUGAGGAGGAGGAAGCGAGGAUUUGCCCAGGGUCACGGCGCCCGGGCCUUGGCUUUGCCCAUCCAUCUGGGAGCGGGAAACAUUAACCAGGACUUCCCUGGUGGUGCAGUGGUUAAGAAUCCUCCUGCCAAUGCAGGGGACACAGGUUCAAGCCCUGGUCCAGGAAGGUUCCACAUGCCGCGGAGCAACUAAGCCUGUGUGCCACAACUACUGAGCCCUCACGCCACAACUACUGAAGCCUGUGCACCAGAGUCCGUGCUCUGCAACAAGAGAAGCCAUUGCAAUGAGAAGCUCACGCACCGCAAUGAAGACCCAAUGCAGCCAAAAAUAAAAUAAAUUAAAAUAAAUUAAUUUUUUUAAAAAAAGGAAACAUUAACCAAAGAAUUGCACCCUUUCCUGGAAGAUAAUGGUGUUCUUCUUGGCUCCCAUCCAGCCCUGUUCAACCCCAUUCACCCACUGCAGCAAGAGGAAUCCUUCCCAAAUGAAGAUCUGAGUAAG